UGUCAUAUAUUACUAAAUGGUGCCAAUAGCUACACAUAAUUUGAAGAAAGGUUAUAAGUAACCACUCAUCUACCUACUACCUACCUAAAAAUAAAUUCAUAGGAAUUAUCCCUUCUUCCUACCAAUUCUCUGUCUCCUUCCCUCCCUUCCUUCCUCUUUAGAAUGUAUUGACUUCACACAUGAAUGCAUAAACACACAUCCUACUCACCACUCUCCACUUUCACCCUGAUCCACUAAGCAGAUCAUUCUAUUUGAGUUUUAUGGUAAAAAAAAAAAAAAAAAAAAAAAGUAAUAGUCAGUAUAGCGCAGGACUUACGAGGUAAGGCCUUUGAAUCAGAGAGACCUCUUUUGAACCUCAAGACAUUUUAAAAUAAUGUGAUCUUGGACAAAUUGCUUGAGCUAUUCAGGACUCAGUUCCUCCUCAAUACAAUGAGCAUAAAUAACAACACCUCUGUUGUUGUAAGAUAUGUUCCAUUUAGUCACAUAAUGUACUUAGUGUAAUAUCUGACACACAAUAAGUGCUUAGUAAAUAUUAACUAUUUAUUUUCUAUGUAUUCUGCUUUUAAUAGUGUAAUAGUAGUAAUUAAUAAUUUCCUAGCAGGCAAAGAAAUUUAAAUUAUGUAAGUAGUCAUUUAUUAUUCUAAAAUUCUCUCUCCUCAGUAUUUUCCCUAUCCGUCCACAAAGUCAUAGAGCCUCAGAGAUGGAAAUAAACAGACGAAACAAACUCUAUGUCUAACAGGCAUCCCUAGAAGCAUCCAGGAAAAGCCUGAAUUACAAAGGGGAACCAGGCCUAGCAGAGAUGGGGCUUGUUUCAUCCACAUUUUUCUAACUCUAAGGAAUCACGCUUGUUACUUGACUGGGAUGUUGCAAGGACUUACAUCUGAGAAGUACAUCAUCAAGCAAUAGAGAAGAUAAGGCUUAGAGAGAGAAGGGAAGCCCCCGUCAAUUAGGAAAGGCAAAGGCUCUGUGGCACAGCAUAGCCUAAGAAUUUUGUUGGCAUAGAAUUCUAAAUGUGAAAAGAAUAAAUGGAGUGACCGCUCCUCCCUACGAAAGAAUCUUGUAUACUCUUGUUUUAAAAGCACAAACAUAAUUAUAUCAUAUACCUAAUGUAUAAUGUAAUUUUGCUACUUUGCUCUUCCAACUUCUCAAAUCUUUGAAUGCAGAGGUUUUUGGGGUUAUUCCCUAUGUAUUAUUUCCACUGAUAUGUUCAUAGCUGCUCAGUGAAUGUGUGUUGCUAAAUAAGUGAUAGGGUACAGACAAGCUGAAAUUGCACAUUUAUGUUGCCAUUGCACUGCUCAAAAAAUUAAAAAAAUUAGAAUUAGCGUUGAAGAGAGUGCUCAGGCCCUGGACUAGGAUUUCUUUGCUGUGUAAUAAACUUUAUACAAACAAUUAACCUCCCUGCUUCUCAAUUUUCUCCUCUAUAAAAUUGGGUUAUUACAAAAUUCUUUGUAAGAUACUAUGGAGUUCAAUUAGGAUAAGUUAAAUAUUUGAAAUCUGAAGCAUUAUGCAAAUGUGAGGCAUUAUUAUCAUAAUAAUUAUAACAAUAUUGUUUUUAUUCUUAAUUGCUACUCUUGAGUACUCUCUUGCUCUGCAGGUAUCUCUCUUCCUGCCUUCCCCAGGGUGUUGGUAUACCAGGAUGCCUCUUUAGAAAAGAAAUUAUACGAUUGACCUAAGGAAACAGAAUUUUCCAUCUUGGCAUUUGCAUAAAGGCCACACACUCAUAGCCAUAUGCUGAUUUAACCAGCAGCUUUCACACUUAUGACCAAGUUUGCUACUUGUUCCCUGAUAUCUAUUCUCCCUCUAUUUCUUAUUAAUAGA
ensembl:lncRNA